rnacentral:rRNA from 1 species
CCUACGGGAGGCAGCAGUGAGGAAUAUUGGUCAAUGGUCGGGAGACUGAACCAGCCAAGCCGCGUGAGGGAUGAAGGUACAGAGUAUCGUAAACCUCUUUUGUCAGGGAACAAAGGCGGGGACGUGUCCCCGGAUGAGUGUACCUGAUGAAAAAGCAUCGGCUAACUCCGUGCCAGCAGCCGCGGUAAUACGGAGGAUGCGAGCGUUAUCCGGAUUUAUUGGGUUUAAAGGGUGCGCAGGCGGUCUGUUAAGUCAGCGGUAAAAGCUCGGGGCUCAACCCCGGACCGCCGUUGAAACUGGCAGUCUCGAGUGGGAGAGAGGUAUGCGGAAUGCGUGGUGUAGCGGUGAAAUGCAUAGAUAUCGCGCAGAACUCCGAUUGCGAAGGCAGCAUGCCGGCUCCACACUGACGCUGAGGCACGAAAGCGUGGGUAUCGAACAGGAUUAGAUACCCUUGUAGUC